rnacentral:rRNA from 1 species
UAGGGAAUCUUCGGCAAUGGACGAAAGUCUGACCGAGCAACGCCGCGUGAGUGAAGAAGGUUUUCGGAUCGUAAAACUCUGUUGUUAGAGAAGAACAAGGACGUUAGUAACUGAACGUCCCCUGACGGUAUCUAACCAGAAAGCCACGGCUAACUACGUGCCAGCAGCCGCGGUAAUACGUAGGUGGCAAGCGUUGUCCGGAUUUAUUGGGCGUAAAGCGAGCGCAGGCGGUUACUUGAGUCUGAUGUGAAAACCCCCGGCUCAACCGGGGAGGGUGAUUGGAAACUGGGAGACUUGAGUGCAGAAGAGGAGAGUGGAAUUCCAUGUGUAGCGGUGAAAUGCGUAGAUAUAUGGAGGAACACCAGUGGCGAAGGCGACUCUCUGGUCUGUAACUGACGCUGAGGCUCGAAGGCGUGGGGAGCAAACAGG